rnacentral:tRNA from 1 species
GCGAGUGUAGCUCAGAGGCAGAGCGCCGCCCCAACACGGCGGAGGUCGGGGGUUCGAGACCGCCCCACUCGCA